UUUCCUUUUAUCUUAGGAUACUUGAUGUACAUCAGUUAACCCAAGGUUUAAAACAUAAAGAUAGAAAUAGCACUGAAAACAAGCCCAAAGAAGAUACUGACAAGCAGUCUGUCUUGCUGUAAUUUCCAGAUGGAUCUAGUGCAGAAAACACAUUCCUGAAACUAGUAGAUUAAAGCAUGGCAACUGAUACAGCUCAAGUUUGUGACUCAGGCAAAUCUAUGUUUACCCAGUUAGGAUUAAUAUUGAUACCAGCCAGAAGUGCAUUCACUUUAGUGCCAACAUUAAUGGGUCUGGGGCUGUCCAUCUAAAUUGACUACUUGCUCUGCUGCGUGCUAUGAAUACACCAUUGAUUUCUUAAUUUAUUUUAAAAAUUACAAAACAAACACUCCCAAUACAAUCUGGAUUUUAACUUGCAGGAGAGCUGAGCUGGUUCAGUCGGGUUAUGGUAAUUUGUCUGUUAACAUUAUUCUGAUGAAUAAAAUGCUUAUUAUAAAUAUGUUUGUUCCUUCUCCCACUCUAGUGGCCUCUCGACAAAAGUAUGGUCUGAUUUGGGCUUUAAGAGUUUGCUCUGCAGAAGCAGUGCAACUCUAAUCAUUUUCUAAGAGAAAAUUAAUUAGAUGUACCUCUAAACAGAACAACAAAUCUGAGAAGGUGAAAUCUUCCCACAGUUGAGUAGGACAAAUGAGAGACGCAUCCUUCUGUGGCUGGUGAAUUCUAAACAUACGCAGUAUUCAUGUGCAGCAAGUAUCACUGGAAAAUGAUGCAGUCUAUAGGCAUGUGAGCAGCACUGGCAGUUACUAAAUAAAUAAAUAAAUAAAUAAAUAAAAAUCUUUGAAACAGAUCAUCUCACAAGCCAGAUCCUAAUAGAGACAUAUAAAUGUUAAUUCCAGCACAAGGAAGAAGGAGGGAAUACAAUGAAAAAUGAACUGAAACUGCACACGCUAAUUGAGUUGACCUGUCUUCAGUUUUAAUUGUUAUAUCAGAGAAGUCAAACCUAAUUCAUUUCCCAGGGGCCCUGCACCCUUCAAGUUACAUCUGCCACUAAUGAACACUUCACUCAAAAACUCUUUCAGUAUCUGUUUUCAGGGUCAAAGCUUGCACGUGGUGCCAAAAAGAAGCCAGGAAAUUUCACCUCUCUACCUGUCCUCUCUGCCUACUAGCAGGAACCCAAAAUAAGGAGGCACUCUAUUGUGCCAUGCAUCAAGCAGGUUGUCCCAGUGCAGAAGAGCAUGAUAAAAAGGAUCAAAACCUGUCACAACUAGAGAGAUUGGAAGGACUGCUAUUUUUGCAGAUUGAAGGCACAUGAAUUGUACAGGAGAAAGAUGGGAAAGAAUGAAGCAGAAAAAUGAUGCAACUCAUUUAAAGAAGGCUUGGCAGUGCCAGACACAGAAACUAGAUCUGAUACCCAAGCCACUGCCUUAACUUUGCUGUCAUUGCCCUUUCAACUUCAUGCUAUGCAAUAAGCAUUCAAGCUGCGUACACAUACAAAGAAAAUCUUCACUUGCUUUUAAAAAAAAGAUGCCUAAACUAAUAGGUUCAUAGCUGGACACCAAGUGUGCCAAAUAUUCAGGACAUCUUUAUGCAUGAAAUUUUAUGACAGCAGUGCAUCGUUUGACUUUUUUUUUCCUUUUUUAAUAAGAACUUCUAUUUAGGUAUGCUAUGUAGAAG
ensembl:lncRNA